rnacentral:rRNA from 1 species
UACGUAGGGACCAAGCGUUGUCCGGAAUCAUUGGGCGUAAAGAGCGUGUAGGCGGCUUGUUAAGUCUUGCGUGAAAUCUCGGGGCUUAACCCUGGGCCUGCAGUGGAUACGGGCAGACUAGAGGUAGGUAGGGGAGAAUGGAAUUCCCGGUGUAGCGGUGAAAUGCGCAGAUAUCGGGAGGAACACCGGUGGCGAAGGCGGUUCUCUGGGCCUUACCUGACACUGAGGAGCGAAAGCGUGGGGAGCGAACAGG